GGGUGACUAGUCUAGUGGUCAGGACGCUUCGUUGUGGUUUCGGCACACACACACCGGCCGAUACAUGACGACCGAAGAAACCCCGGUUCGAUUCCGGGGUCGCCCA